AGUGGGAUAGCUGGAUCAAAUGGUGGUUCCAUUCUCAGUUUUCUAAGGAAGUGCCAUACUGCUUUCCAUAUUGGCUGCACCAUUCUGCAGUCCCACCAGCAAU
rnacentral:pre_miRNA from 1 species